rnacentral:tRNA from 1 species
GGGCGGUUAGCGCAGCUGGUUAGCGCGUCACGUUGACAUCGUGAAGGUCACUGGUUCGAGUCCAGUACCGCCCACCA